rnacentral:lncRNA from 1 species
UCGGCACCAAAUCUGGAAGCUCCUCCUUCCCAGACGUGUGACCUUGAGGAGAUCAACACCCUCUGGAACUAUUUCAUCUACAUAGUGAAGACCCAGUGACACUUCAGGACCCUUUCAGCACUGACAUUUUAUUAUUCUAAUAAAUUUUGAUAUGAACCAUUCUACAGGAGCAGUGGAACAUCUUGGUUCGCAGGCGCAGAAGGACAUCCUCACCCGCCAGAAGGGACACAAGGCAGGGAUCCCAAUCUGCUGCCAAAAUGAGAUCUCCCUGACGGCUCUGCGGUGGAAAGAGGCCGAGCGAGCGAGCAAGCGGCAGAAAGCAGGUCUGCGGGGAUGGCAGCCGGCGAAGGUAUCACACCGCAAGCACCUGCCACGCUCCAAAAAGACAGCCGGGGUUUCACAUCGCAUUAGGCCAGGGCUGUGCUCGGGGAGGGCCGACCCUGGUGGGAUCUGGGCCUCGGCAGCCAUCUCCGACAAUUUCUCACCCUUUUUGGGCUCAGAAAAGCCCCCGAUACAGUUAGCCAAAUGGCUUUCCUGCAUCGAUUUUUAUCCCCUUGGGUAUUUUGGAGGAAAUUAA